rnacentral:rRNA from 1 species
GACGGGGGAUGCAAGUGUUAUCCGGAAUCACUGGGCGUAAAGCGUCUGCAGGUGGUUUCCUAAGUCCACUGUUAAACCUUGAGGCUCAACCUCAAAUCUGCAUUGGAAACUAGGAGACUUGAGUAUAGUAGGGGUAGAGGGAAUUUCCAGUGGAGCGGUGAAAUGCGUAGAUAUUGGAAAGAACACCGAUGGCGAAGGCAGGUCUCUGGGCCACUACUGACGCUGAGAAGCGAAAGCAUGGGGAGCAAACAGG